AAAUCACACUUGGGUAGUUUCUCUCUGUAGAAGUGUUUAAUCCAAACGCGACUAGGUACUAUUAUACGUAACUAUUCAAAUUUCAAAGUCGGUAAUACACGUACAAGUUUGUUUGAAAUGUAUUUUCCUCGUGGUGCCAAACACCCGAAACUUCAAUCCUCCCCCGAUCAUGGUUGCGUAUUCAGAUCAGAACAUUCAUAUAAUGUACG